GUCUUCCGGAGCCUCCGGUCGCGGGUCUAAGAGGACUAGGGCGGGAGCGGCGCGGAAGAAAGAGAGGACUGCGUUUUGGGGCGUUCUGUCAGAGGGGAAGGACGUGUGGAUUGGAGUCAGACUGCACUCCCGCCCUAUUUCUGCAAGUAGAACUCACUGCCUUUAGAAACGGUCUUCUGAGGCUCUGUUGGGAGGCUCUAACUGUAUUACAGAGGACACAUUUUUGUUUGUUUUUAUGUGAAACAUUCAGAAGUUGCUUGCAUCAAGUGCUUUACAAGUACACUGGUUUUCAAACUUUUAAAGUUGAGGAACUGUUUUGAUUUUUGUAAAAAUAGAACUUUACUUGGAAGCCCAAGGUCGCUUAGAAACUAGUACUCUCAGAACAUGGAGUGGAAGAGGUGAUCAUGGUAGCAACAGACUGAGGAGUGAAUUUGAACUUGAGUUUUGUCUUGCUGUUUUUCAUUGAUGGAACCCAACUGGAAAUCAGAAUACAAGGGCACUCGAUUAAUUCAGUUCACAGAGGACUUCUUCCUGUGGCACGGAGCAUGGUGGGGAAAGGUACAAAGUAGACCUCGAGAAACAAACAGCAUGGUGACCAGUCACAAAAUGUAUACAGAAAAUUAACAGAUUUUUUUUCCUUGAAGAGAUCAAAUCUAAAAAACAGUAUAAAAAUAAGAAUGUGCAGGAUCUAUAUAAAGAAAUCUAUACUCUACCAAGGUACCUGAAAAAAUACACAGAUAAAUGAAGGCUUAUGGCUUGAUUUUAGGUAUAAAAAGUUAAUGUUUAAAGACAUCCAUUUAUCCACCUGGAUAAACAUGGUCAUUAUUUUUUAAAUCAAAGUCCCAAGAGCUCCAUUUCACAACCUGAAACUAUUUAAAAUCAUGUUAGAAAAUUAAAUAGUAAGAAAAUACUAGAAAAAAUCAGAAGAAUGAGUAGAAUCAUAGAGCUACAAUAAUUAAAAUAGGAUGGUUUGGGGGGAAGAUCAGUAAGUUAGAUCAAUGAAAUUGCAUAGAAAAGCAAGAAAUUGAUUAUUAUAUUUCUAUGGGCACGUGAAAACUGUGGCAUUUCUAAUCACAGGGGAACUUAUAGAUUAUAAGAUAAAAGACAUUAAGCCUAUUGGAUAACUAGUUUAGAGAAAAGAAAAUUCAGUUACGAUCUGACCUCAAGAAAAAAAUGUAAAUAGAUUAAAUAUGUAUAUGUAAAAUCAAAAAAAUCAUGAAUAUAUAAAUAAAAUUCGAUAAGUGUUUCUAUAUUUCAGAUGUGGGUCUAUACGGUAAUUUUAUAAUAAAUCAAUUAAAAGAUAUACUAAAAUCAUUUUAACUGGGUGAAAACCAUUUUCACUCACUUAAUUUUUUAAAAUGGUGAAAUCCACUCAUAAACAGUAGCCAGAAAUCAAAGUCAGAAGGCUAAUAUGUAUUUAAAAAGCUAAAGGGUUAGCUUUAGGAGUGUCCAACCUAUGGAGUCACACAGGACCAUAGUUAAUAAUGGCCUCAUACUUGGUUUGAUAUUCUGCUGUCACAGUCUUGAAAUCCUUAACAAUUUUUGAACAAAGAGCCCUGGAUUUUCGUUUUGCACUCAGUCCUGCAAAUUAGGUAGCGAUCCUAGUUAACCUUCCCAUAUACUGAGUGAAAUACAAACUAAAACCUGAAUUUAAAAAUUGUUUUUAGGUUGAAAACAGUAAAAUAAAAACACUUAUUUUUUUUACUUGACAACAUCAAGAAUGCAGAAAAAGAAACACUCAUAUACCUUUAGUUCAACCAUUUGCAAAUACUCAGGAAUCAUAUAUCAAAAUUUAAAGUGAAUACUUUUUAUUGAGCAUUUUUUUCUACAGGAAUACAUCUACAGGAACUAAUUGAACCCAUACAUAAAAAUCAGGAUAUUUAUCACAGUAUUGCUAAUAAUAACAAAAAUAUGUGAACCAAUCUAAAUGUUCAUAAAAAUUGGUUAUAUAUUGAAGGAUACAUUUCUGUAGUUUCAUUUAUGCUUCAACCUUAAAUGUGAUAUAAAUAUACGUAUAAACACACACAUUUGAAAUGUAAAGAUGUACAGUAGAGUGAUAUGGAAAGAUACUCAUGAUUCAUUGUUACGUGGAAAGCCAACUAUGUAACAGCAAAGAUAGUGAAAUGCUACAGGUAGCUGUACAGAACUUUUUAUAUAUAGGUAUAAAAAUGUGUGAAAAGAAAAACAAAGAUAUUUUUAUCCAGAAUUACAGGAACUUUUAUUUUCUUGUUACAAUUUUAGAUAGCCUUCCUUUUAACAAUGGGCUUUUAUUUCUAUUAAAAUAGAAAAAUAAAUCAGCUUGAACUAAUAAGAACUGGGUCAUUUAUGGCUGUGAUCAUUUAAAUAUUUAUAUAAAUAAUUUCCAAAAAUAGUUAUUUUUUUUAUAAAACAAAGGAAUUAAUGUAAACAGUUUG
rnacentral:lncRNA from 1 species